rnacentral:snoRNA from 1 species
UUUCCCAUUUGACUACUACUUUUUUUCUUAAUUUAGUAGCUAUGCUUAUGGGAUAGAUGAAAAUUACCAUGAACUGAAGAGGGAGGAUUUUUUGUGUGUUCUCCUCCUAUAUGAAACAGCUGAACAGAAAACU